rnacentral:tRNA from 1 species
GCCUCGGUGGUUUAGUCAAGGCGCUCGCCUGGUAAACAGGAGGGCGUGGGUUCAAUCCCAACCGAGGUA